rnacentral:rRNA from 1 species
GAUGAACGCUAGCUACAGGCUUACCUCAUGCAAGUCGAGGGGAAACGACAUCAAAAGCUUGCUUUUGAUGGGCGUCGACCGGCGCACGGGUGAGUAACGCGUAUCCAACCUGCCCAUCACUUGGGGAUAACCUUGCGAAAGUAAAACUAAUACCCAAUGACGUCCAUAAAAAACAUCUGAAAUGGAUUAAAGAUUUAUCGGUGAUGGAUGGGGAUGCGUCUGAUUAGCUUGUUGGCGGGGUAACGGCUCACCAAGGCGACAAUCUCUAGCUGGUCUGAGAGGAUGACCAGCCACACUGGAACUGAGACACGGUCCAAACUCCUACGGGAGGCAGCAGUGGGGAAUAUUGCACAAUGGGGGAAACCCUGAUGCACCCAUGCCGCGUGUGUGAAGAAGGCCUUCGGGUUGUAAAGCACUUUCAGUGGGGAGGAAGGGCUGAUGACUAAUAUUCAUCAGCAUUGACGUUACCCACAGAAAAAGCACCGGCUAACUCCGUG